GGAGGGGGCGAGCGUUAUUCGGAAUUAUUGGGCGUAAAGGGCGCGUAGGCGGCUUGAUAAGUCAAAGGUGAAAUCCCUCGGCUCAACUGAGGAACUGCCUUUGAAACUGUCUGGCUUGAGGCCGGGAGGGGGUAGCGGAAUUCCCAGUGUAGCGGUGAAAUGCGUAGAUAUUGGGAGGAACACCGGUGGCGAAGGCGGCUACCUGGACCGGUUCUGACGCUGAUGCGCGAAAGCGUGGGUAGCAAACAGGAUUAGAUACCCUGGUAGUCCACGCUGUAAACGAUGGGUGCUCGGUGUCGCGGGUAUCGACCCCUGCGGUGCCUUAGCUAACGCGUUAAGCACCCCGCCUGGGGAGUACGGUCGCAAGGCUGAA
rnacentral:rRNA from 1 species